rnacentral:rRNA from 1 species
UCGAACGGCAGCACGGACUUCGGUCUGGUGGCGAGUGGCGAACGGGUGAGUAAUAUAUCGGAACGUGCCCUGGAGUGGGGGAUAACGUAGCGAAAGUUACGCUAAUACCGCAUACGACCUGAGGGUGAAAGGGGGGGAUCGCAAGACCUCUCGCUAUUGGAGCGGCCGAUAUCAGAUUAGCUAGUUGGUGGGGUAAAGGCCUACCAAGGCAACGAUCUGUAGUUGGUCUGAGAGGACGACCAGCCACACUGGGACUGAGACACGGCCCAGACUCCUACGGGAGGCAGCAGUGGGGAAUUUUGGACAAUGGGCGCAAGCCUGAUCCAGCAAUGCCGCGUGCAGGAAGAAGGCCUUCGGGUUGUAAACUGCUUUUGUCAGGGAAGAAAUCUUCUGGGCUAAUACCCCGGGAGGAUGACGGUACCUGAAGAAUAAGCACCGGCUAACUACGUGCCAGCAGCCGCGGUAAU